AAUCUGCCUCAAAGCUAUAUAAAGCAUUGAUUUAGUUAUCGAUUUACUAUUCAAGUUCCAGUUAUACAAGAAACUCAGUUUACAAGCAAAAUCAUGAAGUUUUUCUUUGCUCUCCUAAUUAUUGGUGCAUUGUGCGCGACCAUUAAUGCCGACGAUGACCAAGCCUUUACGAUAAACGUUGGCGGUGUUAAGGUUAAAUGUGCUAAAUUUUGGCCUAGCUCUUGCAACUUUGAUCCAAAUGGAGUGAACAGCAUUUUCGCAGGACCACCAAGUGAAACUUCAACAUGAUUCUGCUACGCAAUUACUUCGAAACAGAGAAGAUUCUGAUCACUUUGUUUUGUAAUUAUGGAUACAAUAUAUAAAAAUACAAACAAGUCCAUACAUUA